ACAGUGAGAAGUGGGACCAGUGCUGGGUCCUUCCCUUGCUGCUGAUGUCCCCCAGGCUCACCCUCCCAGGGGUGGAUUUUACCUUUGAGGAGGACAAUCCCUGACCUUCAAACCCACAGGACUGAGGCAAUGAAGAGAGUUCUGAUUUGCAAAGCUGAAUAAAACAAAAGCACAGAGGAACCUGGCUGGGCGUGCUGACCUUCUUUUCAGUUUUCAAGCAACUCCAAACUGAGUCUCACUCAGAACUGGCCGUGAUCCUUGUUUUCUCA
rnacentral:lncRNA from 1 species